AGUGAACGCUGGCGGCAGGCCUAAUACAUGCAAGUCGAACGGCAGCACAGCAGAGCUUGCUCUGUGGGUGGCGAGUGGCGGACGGGUGAGGAAUACGUGGGAAUCUGCCCAGUCGUGGGGGAUAACGUAGGGAAACUUACGCUAAUACCGCAUGCGCCCUUCGGGGGAAAGCCGGGGACCUUCGGGCCUGGCGCGACUGGAUGAGCCCACGUCGGAUUAGCUAGUUGGCGGGUAAAGGCCCACCAAGGCGACGAUCCGUAGCUGGUCUGAGAGGAUGAUCAGCCACACUGGAUCUGAGACACGGUCCAGACUCCUACGGGAGGCAGCAGUAGGGAAUAUUGGACAAUGGGCGCAAGCCUGAUCCAGCCAUGCCGCGUGAGUGAAGAAGGCCCUCGGGUUGUAAAGCUCUUUUAGUCCGGAAAGAAAAGCGCCGGGUUAAUACCCUGGUGUCCUGACGGUACCGGAGAAUAAGCACCGGCUAACUUCGUGCCAGCAGCCGCGGUAA
rnacentral:rRNA from 1 species